rnacentral:rRNA from 1 species
UUCCUACGGGAGGCAGCACAGGGCUCCUACGGGAGGCAGCAGUGGGGAAUAUUGCACAAUGGGGGAAACCCUGAUGCAGCAACGCCGCGUGAGCGAUGAAGGCCUUCGGGUCGUAAAGCUCUGUCCUCAAGGACGAUAAUGACGGUACUUGAGGAGGAAGCCCCGGCUAACUACGUGCCAGAGCCGCGGUAAUAAUACGUGCCAGCAGCCGCGGUAAUAA